rnacentral:rRNA from 1 species
UACGGCCGUACCAUGCUGAAUAUACCGGUUCUCGUUAGAUCACCGAAGUUAAGCAUCAUUGGGCGCGGUCAGUACUUGGGUGGGUGACCACCUGGGAACACUGCGUGCCGUU